ACGACGUGGGAGUCCAGUGAUGUAACCCUUAUGCCUUCUGCUGGUCCUGAAGAACCCCUUUUCUCCCUAUGCUGUUUUCAUCACACUUGUGACAGCAUCCCGCAGUUUACCCCCGAGGGCACGAACCCCAGGUCAGACUUGCUCCUGAGCUACACUCCGGUCUGCGCUCGCCUUUGUCCUGACUCGCCACUCCUGUCUCCGCCAGGGUCUCAGAAGCUGCACGGAAAGCGACCAGUAGAAAUACAUAGAAGGAGAAAUUUUAAGGAUAUACGACAAUAAAAAAAGCACUGCUGCUUUAAUGGUGCUGAGAAACCCUGGGUCGAGGUAACAGCUAUUAGAGAACUGGGUCAGCUUCACAGCAACGGAGCCACGUCUGGAAAGCAGGCAAGCCUUAAUCCCCACGUGGGCCCGACAUUCAACCCUGCCCGUUUUACCUCCAAGCUCCUGGAGCAGCAGCAGCUGGCGGGAUGCCACGGUAGACUGCACAUUUGCCUUUCAGGACGGGAUACAAGCCCUCUGCCGUCGUGGGUCCUGACAACAGGGCCCGGUUCCGGAAGCUGGGGGCAGGGGACCUUGCCUGCCCUCGGCGGUUCCAGCUGCUACAUGGGUGGAGGGAAACGACCUGGAAUAUUCCCGUUAACAUCAGUUUCCAUUUCAUGCAACCGGUGGGGACCUGGAGUCCCCAAAUGCAGACCGCGCUGCUUCCCGGCAGAGCCUGGCCUGACAGCGCCGGGCUCGGCCACGUCCCUCCGCGGAGCAGACGGAGCAGACGGAGCAGACGAGCAGUCAGAGCUGGGCUCGUGCAGGAGAGACACACCUCCCGGGGCGAGGACGCAGAAAGGGUCCCGUGUGUUUAGUCUUUGCUAUUUUUACCCUUCUGGUUUUCAGUUAAAUUGUGACUGACAAUCGUUUGGUUAUAGUGACCCAUUAAUUCACUAAACAGAAGCCCAUUGGUGUCAAAGCCUCCUUUUUUCAAGUUUAAAAGAAAAUGGAUCUCUACAUGUGUCAUUACACCUCCAGGACCUUGUCACCCGGCAAAACAGAAGCUCUGCGCUCACCGGUCGGUAACUUGCCGUCCCGUCCUGGUGACCGCCCGCCAUUCCCGAGUUCAACUCUGCUCAUGUACGCGAGGUCACCUGGUGUCUCUUUCUGUGUCUGGCUGUCCGCACAGUGGGACGUCCUUGCGGUCCAUCCUGUCAUGCUGAAGACCAAGUCAGAUUUCCUUCUUGUUCGGGACUAAACACCCC